rnacentral:RNase_P_RNA from 1 species
CAUCCGGGUUGGGGCGGACGUACAGGAGCAGAACAUCCUGGUGGUUAAGAUUAAAAAAAAAAAAAAAAAAGACAAAACGAAAAAAGAAAAAGAGAGGAAUAUUGCUAAAUUGUUACGUCAGUAGCAAUAAGUGAGGGUGAAACGGUGGAGUAAGAGUCCACCGGCGGCGGCAGCAAUGUCGCCGGCCAGGCAAACCCCACCGGGAGCAAGGUCAAGCAGGGUGGAAGCCUUCGGGCUGCGGGGCUGCUCGUUCCGCCAAUACAUCCGGGUAGACUGCAUGAGGUGUCUGGUAACAGGCAUCCCAGAUAGAUGAUCGCCGGUCACCGGCUCCGGCCGGUGACAACAGAAUGCGGCUUACAGGCUGGCUUGGUUU